CGGCCCCGCCUGGCCGGGCCCGGGCGGGGUCUGCGUCUGGCUGGGGAGGGUGAAGUCGGUGAACUCGAACUCGGAGCCCUGCGUGUCGGCGCCGAGCAGCUCGGCCUCCUCGGUGUCCAGGAAGGACAAAGCCUGGCCUGAAUCAACGUGUUCCAGAUCUGCAGCUGCCGGGCUGAAAAGAUGAGGCUGGAAAACAUCCUUGUCCUGGGAGUAUUGGGCAGCAAAAGGAGGGGAAAAACCAAAUCCAGGGAACACAGCAGCCACCACUUCUGCAGAGACUGAAUUCAUCUUGUUCUUGAGCAGAAUCAACUGUUCAGAGCAAAGAGUAACGGGGAGGAAGCGUGAAAUAACAUUUGAGGAUGAAAGUGGAACCAGAGGGGAGGGGAAAAAAAAGAAAACACUACAAAGCCAGGUGGCUGCUUGCUGCAAACACUUUUAUUUAUCAAUGAACACAACACUCUCCAAACCUUUGGCUGCCCGACAGACUCCUCAGAAGUCUUGGGAAGGGAUGAGAGUUGUGCUGCUGGGAGGGUUCCGCUGGCUGUGCCCGCCGCAGCUCGGGCAGCGGGGCUGUGGAACGGCCCUGCUGUGCCAGCAGCGCUGCAUGUGCCCCCUCGGGUGGCCCUGGGGACACUCUGGGGCUGCUGUCUGAGGUGCUGGAGCUGCAGAGCCCCCGGCACGGCCUGCGCGGGGCUGCAGAAGGGCUGGGGCAGCUGCAGUGGGGGUUCUUUGUGGAUUUGGGGUAAUUCCCAGCGCAGCGCUGGGAGCCCUCGGGAGCCCGAGGACACCGUGCAUGCCAGGCAGGCUGCAGAGCUCCCGGGCUGCGGUUUGCUGUGCUCUGUGUGAGUUUGCUCCCUUCUCCUGCUGCAGAGGGGAGGCUGUGACUCACCGGGCUCGCCUGCCGUGGGCUUGGAGCUGGCACAGGCUGGCACAGCUCCCUGCCAGCGGUGCUGACGCCUGUGCCCUGCAGAGAGGAGCUGGCACUCACCAGGAGAGCAGAAACGUGAGUGCAUCAAGGCUUCAAAGACACUCCUGCUGCAGGGCUAAAUCCAUAGGGGAAAAAAAAAUUGGGAAUUAAUUUUUCCAGUGCAGCUGGGCCAUUUCUCCUGAGUCACCACGAGAGGGACACAGAAGGAAAGGAAAAAUCCAAGGAGCAGCUCGAGGUUUAACUGGGGAUAAAUAUUCCCAGAACAAGUCAUGGGGAUGUAACUCCCUGAAGGAAAAGGAGGAGAAGAUUUGGGCCAAAAUCCAGGGAUUUUGAAUGAAGAAAGUUCUCAGAAAUGAGUGAAGUUCCCCUCUCCAAGCCAUGCCUGGAUAUUUGAUUUCCUUGGGAAAGCUGGGCCCUCUGAGCAGCUUUUGCUGCUGGGACACUCAGCUCUGCCAGCAGGAAAGUUGCUUUUGUCAUUGCCAUUUCUCCACCUGAGGCUUGGGGUUCCUGGAACUGGGGAGCUUCUCCUGGAAGAAGUGCUGCAGGCAGGAAUGGCUUGUGCAGAAAGCUCUCCAAGGCUGCAGAGGUGUCCAGGAGGCAGCUGGGAUCUGGAAUUCUCUCUCCUGGUGGGUAUUUCUUGAUGAGCACCCAACGUGCCCUGGCUCCAGGGGAUGUUCAGGGAAGAGCCUGAGCCUGUGCUGGCCAAAAGGAGUUGGAAUUUCAUGGAGGCAACGCUGCAAAAAUGCACAGGACUGAUGUGGCUUCCAUCUGGAAUUCAAAUUAAAGGCAUUUGGGACCAUCACAGUCAGGCCAGACCUGUGCCCUGGCAGUUUUUGGGUGGGAAGAGCAGUUCAGAUGAAGCAAGGCUGACUCUGGAUCUCUCCACAGCCCAUGAUCCUGAAAAUUAUUAUGGAAAAAGCAGCUUUGCCCUUGAGGCUGUUUUGCAGCUCUGGGUGGGGUCAGCAGAAGGCACUGCCAGCUCUCUCCAGGGCCAGUUCAUUCCUGGGAGAUUUCUGGGGCUGAGAUUUUCUGGAAAACUCCAGAGGUUUGGGUCAGUCUCCAUCCUGCUUCUUUCUGGAGAGCUUCCCACCCCUUGUGAGCCUGCACACGCCGUUUUUCCAUUUCUCUGGAAGUGACCAAAAACCCCAAAACAAGCCCAGAGCCUGGAUGAUGCUGAAUUUUCCUCUGAGCUCAUCGAGGAUGUCCAAAGCAGCACCAUUUGCAGAUGGGGCCAAGAAUCUGUAAUGUCUCAAAGCUGAGCAAAAUAAAACGUGUGCGAGAGGAGAGAUGGGUGAUAAGGGGAGCUGAGGGGGUGGGAGCCAGGGGAAGAUGGGUUUGGGAGCCAGUGGUUGUCCCAGAAGCCAUGAGGGGGUGAAAUGAGCAUUUCCACAGUGCAGCUGUUGGUUUGAGCCUCUUUAAUCAAUUAUUUUGCUAUAUAUUUGUUAAUUACCUUCAGGAAGGAGCUGCAGCUCCAGACUGGGAAGAUUCUCCUGCAUGGAAGUGUUUCCCACUGGUCCCCAACUGCUGCAGGGUUUUAUUGCUGGAAUUUCCUCUCCUUCUUAUUUGGAAAUUCAUCUUUUUAUUGGAGGAAAUCUUUCUUUGGAGAGAGACAAAGGCCAGGGUGAGGAAUCCUGAGGUGUCCCUGUCCUUCCCCACGCCCUGGGCAUCUCUGUGCCUUCAUCCUGCUCCCAGCCAGGACCCUCCUUGCUGGAAAACCCCUGGAAUGCCUCAGGAAAUCCUGGGAGGGGGACACGGGUGAGGGAGUGACACCCCAGGGCUGUCCUGGGACUGUCCCUCUGCUCAGCCCCCAGGAGCUGCAGUUCUGGGAGCAGUUCCCAAAGGAAUUUCAAGCAGAUUUUGGGGAAGAAAGGAUCGAGACAAAGCUCUGCUCCACCACCCAGGAGAGGAAGAAUUUGAUAAUAAAUCCAUUUUCUUAUUCAAGAUCCUCAAUUUCCUGAAGGACAAUGAGACCACUUCAAAGAACAACAUGGAGAAUUUGCCUGUGCUUCCUCUGCCCCUCUUUUCUUUGUGUUCUUCACAAAUGUCCCCAUUCCACAGCAAAAAAACCCAAACCACCUAUCCUGGAGAGUUCUCAUUGUAACUCAGAAAGGUUUUCUCCCCCAUUUUCCUAUCUAAGAAAAGCCCUUUUUCCUCACACAAGUGUUCAAUGACUCCUAUUAAAACCAAAUUUAAGUGAA